rnacentral:rRNA from 1 species
UACGUAGGGGCCAAGCGUUGUCCGGAUUUAUUGGGCGUAAAGAGCUCGUAGGCGGUUCGGCAAGUCGAAUGUGAAAUCUCCACGCUCAACGUGGAGGGGUCAUUCGAUACUGCCGUGACUCGAGUCCGGUAGGGGAGUGUGGAAUUCCCGGUGUAGCGGUGAAAUGCGCAGAGAUCGGGAGGAACACCCGUAGCGAAGGCGGCACUCUGGGCCGGUACUGACGCUGAGGCGCGAAAGCUAGGGGAGCGAACGGG